rnacentral:tRNA from 1 species
AGAUAAUGAACUUGUUAUAGUAUAUAUUUUGAAAAUAUAAAAAAGAAACUUAAAUUUUCUAUUAUCUU